ACGGCCGUACCAUGCUGAAUAUACCGGUUCUCGUUAGAUCACCGAAGUCAAGCAUCAUUGGGCGCGGUCAGUACUUGGGUGGGUGACCACCUGGAAACACUGCGUGCAGU
rnacentral:rRNA from 1 species